UACGUAGGGAGCAAGCGUUGUCCGGAAUCAUUGGGCGUAAAGCGCGCGUAGGUGGCCCCAUAAGUCCGCUGUGAAAGUCAAAGGCUCAACCUUUGAAAGCCGGUGGAUACUGUGGGACUAGAGUACGGAAGAGGCGAGUGGAAUUCCUGGUGUAGCGGUGAAAUGCGCAGAUAUCAGGAGGAACACCGGUGGCGAAGGCGGAUCUCUGGGCCUUACCUGACGCUCAGGCGCGAAAGCUAGGGGAGCGAACAGG
rnacentral:rRNA from 1 species